ACUGGGAGGGCGCCCAGGGGCGGAGGAGGCGCUGCGAACCCGUUUGGGGGCUUCUUUGUUUCUCUUCGGGCCCCUAUCUGCCGGCUGUACCCAAGCCUUGGGAUGCCAGCCCGGCUUGGGCGGCGACCCGCCCCAAGUCAACAAUUGAACCUCGCGGGAGAAGAGAGGGUGGGUAAAAGGGUGGAUCCCGGCUCUCUGGAGGCAGUGCGCUGCAGGGGCUUCGCAAGGCAGAACUUUACAGAAGAGGAAACCACGGGAAACCAAGUGAAGCCUCAAUUCCCACCCUCCUCCCUCCCCCGGGAGCACCUCCCUUCCAGCCUGCGCUCGUCACUUCAGGUGCCCAGUGAUUUCUCAAUGGACAUUUCCCUCUGUCUGGCAGGAAUCUGAUUUUCCCACCAGAUGAGUUCAACGCUGUCUGUUUUUCAAACCAUAUCUCAAAAGCCACACAGAACCCUGAGCACACAUUUCACCAGAUUUGACAGAUGAGCUUUGGUAUGAAGAAAACCUCCAAGAAUGGACUUGGCUGAGGUGCAACAAUAAACACCAGAAUCAACCAAAUGAUAAUACCAACCAGAAAUUUGGAAGAAAAACAAGUAAAUCAACAAAAGUCUCUUGUAUAAACUAAUAUUAAAGAUUUCUGAAGACACAAUUCCAACAAACU
rnacentral:lncRNA from 1 species